rnacentral:tRNA from 1 species
CAAGAUAUAGCUAAGACAGAAAAGCAUCUCUCUUACACUGAGAAGUCACCCGUGCAAUUCAGGUUAUCCUGA